GGAGGGGUUGGCAUGCUGGUAAUGCUAAGACGAUUGAUAAUCGUCUGGUCGGAUACCCGAUCCGGGGGUUCAAUUCCCCUCUCCUAACCACCA
rnacentral:tRNA from 1 species